rnacentral:rRNA from 1 species
GGGGAAUUGUUCGCAAUGGGCGCAAGCCUGACGACGCAACGCCGCGUGGAGGACGAAGAUCUUCGGGUCGUAAACUCCUGUCGAGUGGGAAGAAUGGAUCGGGGCCGAACACGCUCCGGUAUUGACGGUACCACUAAAGGAAGCCCCGGCUAACUCCGUGCCAGCAGCCGCGGUAAUACCGAGGGUGCGAGCGUUGUCCGGAAUCACUGGGCGUAAAGGGCUCGUAGGCGGCCAACUAAGUCAGACGUGAAAUCCCCAGGCUCAACCUGGGAACUGCGUCUGAUACUGGAUGGCUUGAAUCCGGGAGGGGGAUGCAGAAUUCCAGGUGUAGCGGUGAAAUGCGUAGAUAUCUGGAGGAAUACCGGUGGCGAAGGCGGCAUCCUGGACCGGCAUUGACGCUGAGGAGCGAAAGCCAGGGGAGCAAAC